rnacentral:rRNA from 1 species
AGGACGAACGCUGGCGGCGUGCUUAACACAUGCAAGUCGAGCGGAAAGGCCCUUCGGGGUACUCGAGCGGCGAACGGGUGAGUAACACGUGAGCAACCUGCCCUUAGCUCCGGGAUAGCUCCGGGAAACCGGAAUUAAUACCGGAUACGACCACGGCCGACAUCUGCUGUGGUGGAAAGGAUUCCGGCUAAGGAUGGGCUCGCGGCCUAUCAGCUAGUUGGUGGAGUAACGGCCCACCAAGGCGACGACGGGUAGCCGGCCUGAGAGGGCGACCGGCCACACUGGGACUGAGACACGGCCCAGACUCCUACGGGAGGCAGCAGUGGGGAAUAUUGCGCAAUGGGCGAAAGCCUGACGCAGCGACGCCGCGUGGGGGAUGAAGGCCUUCGGGGUGUAAAGGCUCUUUCGGCAGGGACGAUUAUGACGGUACCUGCAGAAGCAGCUGCGGCUAACUACGUGCCAGCAGCCGC